rnacentral:snRNA from 1 species
AGCUUUGCGCAGUGGCAGUAUCGUAGCCAAUGAGGUUUAUCCAAGGCGCGAUUAUUGCUAAUAGAAAUUUGAACUUUAUUCUCUUUGUACAGUGCUGAAUAAAUUAAGAAGGAAAAUAAUGUUAU